GAUGAACGCUAGCGGCAGGCUUAACACAUGCAAGUCGAGGGGCAGCAUAAACAUUGCUUGCAAUGUUUGAUGGCGACCGGCGCACGGGUGCGUAACGCGUAUGUAACCUACCUCAAACAGGGGCAUAACACUGAGAAAUUGGUACUAAUUCCCCAUAACACUUAAGGAGGCAUCUCCUUUAGUUGAAAGUUCCGGCGGUUUGAGAUGGACAUGCGUUGUAUUAGCUAGAUGGUGAGGUAACGGCUCACCAUGGCGACGAUACAUAGGGGGACUGAGNGGUUAACCCCCACAUUGGUACUGAGACACGGGACCAAACUCCUACGGGAGGCAGCAGUGAGGAAUAUUGGUCAAUGGACGUCAAGUCUGAACCAGCCAUGCCGCGUGCAGGA
rnacentral:rRNA from 1 species